CCCUACGGGGUGCAGCAGGAGUAUGAAGGAAAAGUUGGAGAACCGCCCAUGAAGCCGUGUAAUCGUCUCGCUACGUCGAAUUUCACGCCCAUCAAUCUGCUAAUACUUGGUUUCCUUGCUCUAACAAUUGUAAUUGUCGCCCCAGCGGCGGUUGUCGCCGCGCCAAAUGUGAGCUGGGAGGCCAUGCCCCAGCCGGUCACAACCUGGCAGAACACUUCCCAGGGCUUCAGGGCUUUGGCCGGGUUCAAUGACGGCACCGCGUCAUUAUAUGCGGCUGGCACGUUCAUGUCUGAUGCCGGCGGCACGGCCUAUCCCAAGUUCUGGGUGAAAUACACCUAUAGCGGUGGCACCUGGACCAAGAGCAAUCUUGGUAUUGGUACGGCCGGUACCGGUCCAUCUCUGAACCGGGCGGCCACCUCGUUCUUGAAUUGGCGGGAGGGC
rnacentral:rRNA from 1 species